rnacentral:rRNA from 1 species
UUGUAGUCUGCAACUCGACUACAUGAAGCUGGAAUCGCUAGUAAUCGCGGAUCAGAAUGCCGCGGUGAAUACGUUCCCGGGUCUUGUACACACCGCCCGUCACACCAUGGGAGUCAGUAACGCCCGAAGCCGGUGACCCAACCUAAACAGGAGGGAGCCGUCGAAGGCGAGACGGAUGACUGGGGUGAAGUCGUAACAAGGUAUC